UAGUGGCGAACGGCUGAGUAACGCGUAGGUGACCUACCCCGUAGUGAGGAAUAACUGCCCGAAAGGGUAGCUAAUACCUCAUGUUGAGACGCUUUCAUUAGCGUCUCCAAAGCAGCAAUGCGCUAUGGGCGGGGCCUGCGUUCGAUUAGCUAGUUGGUGAGGUAAUGGCUCACCAAGGCGACGAUCGAUAGGUGGUCUGAGAGGACGAUCACCCAGACUGGGACUGAGACACGGCCCAGACUCCUACGGGAGGCAGCAGUCGGGAAUUUUGCGCAAUGGGGGAAACCCUGACGCAGCAAUACCGCGUGUGGGAUGAAGGCCUUCGGGUCGUAAACCACUUUUCUCGGGGACGAUAAUGACGGUACCCGAGGAAUAAGCCACGGCUAACUACGUGCCAGCAGCCGCGGUAAUACGUAGGUGGCAAGCGUUGUCCGGAUUUACUGGGCGUAAAGCGCGCGCAGGCGGUGAAUGAAGUCGAAAGUGAAAGCCCCGGGCUCAACUCGGGAACAGCUUUCGAAACCAGUUCACUUGAAGGUG
rnacentral:rRNA from 1 species